rnacentral:rRNA from 1 species
GUAGGGUGCAAGCGUUAAUCGGAAUUACUGGACGUAAAGCGUGCGCAGGCGGUCCGCUAAGACAGAUGUGAAAUCCCCGGGCUCAACCUGGGAACUGCCUUUGUGACUGCGAAGCUAGAGUACGGCAGAGGGGGGUGGAAUUCCACGUGUAGCAGUGAAAUGCGUAGAGAUGUGGAGGAACACCGAUGGCGAAGGCAGCCCCCUGGGCCGAUACUGACGCUCAUGCACGAAAGCGUGGGUAGCAAA